GUAAUAUGAUACUUCUAUCUCUGCAUAGUUCAGUAGUCGUAAUUGUUAUGGAUCAAGCUUAAUUAUGCGCUUAGUACCUAAAUUUACUUCUAUUGAGUACCCUUGCUCUGUUGUGACUUGUGUCCAGAGUGUGUCGUCAUGAUCAUCAUGCUGCAUAGCUCUACAGUUCUCAAAUAUAUCAGUAUGAAGAUGUCCCUUUGUGCAUUGUGUUUCCAAUCAUUAGCAAGUACUUGAACUCAUAUAUUAGCAUCAUACCACUGUGGUUGUUGAUUUUAAUAGUCAGUUCAGUUUAACAUGUAUCCAUUUGUGAUCUCAAUAUGCCAUGAAUGCUUGGCAUAAGCUGGAUGAGGCCUACAGAAGAAGCUAUGCAGGAGUACAUCACAAUAGUUGAUGAGCUAUUCCCUAACUGGGCUGCUGGUUCGGGCAUGAGAAGGAAAGAUGAAGAUAGCAUGGCUUCUGCAUCAGGUUCGAAGGGACCCAUGGGACCUGUCUUCAGCAGUUUCAUGUACGAGGAAGAUGAAGGAAAUGAAGCUUGUCACAGGUCCUCCUGAGGAUUCUUCUGCUCAUGGAAUUUUGUUACAAACACAAAAUAUCAUUCAUGGAGAAUUCCUUUUUCGUUCCAGUAUUUUGGAACCUCAUGAAAGAACUAUAGGUCUUUGCCAACAAAGCUUCCUUUGAUUCUA